rnacentral:rRNA from 1 species
GUCGAGAAUAAUUCACAAUGGGGGAAACCCUGAUGGUGCAACGCCGCGUGGAGGAUAAGGUCUUCGGAUUGUAAACUCCUGUCAUGCGUGAACAAGGUUGCUUGGUUAAUACCUGGGCAAAUUGAUGGUAACGCAAGAGGAAGAGACGGCUAACUCUGUGCCAGCAGCCGCGGUAAUACAGAGGUCUCAAGCGUUGUUCGGAAUCACUGGGCGUAAAGGGUGCGUAGGUGGCGUGGUAAGUCAGAUGUGAAAGCCCGGGGCUCAACCUCGGAACUGCAUCCGAUACUGCCAUGCUAGAGUACUGGAGAGGUGACUAGAAUUCUCGGUGUAGCAGUGAAAUGCGUAGAUAUCGAGAGGAAUACCAAAGGCGUAGGCAGGUCACUGGACAGUUACUGACACUGAGGCACUAAGGCCAGGGGAGCGAACGGGAUUAGAUACCCUUGUAGUCC